UCAGCUCCUCCACCUGAGACACGGUGCAGAGCCUCCACGGGCUCAUCACGGAUGAGCCUUUCCCGUCCAAUGGUGGCAGAACAAUAGCAGCUUUGUCAAAGAACCUAAGUAGCAGAUAUAUAAAAAAGUUCAGAAUGUUCAGAUUACUGACGGAGGUCCUGUGAUGUAAAAUUCUGCCUGUAACUUGUUUUGCAUUUGGCAUUGCGGAUUCAGAUAGUUCCUAAAUGAAACACUGCAAGAAGUGUUGUUCUAAAUCACAGCAAGUGAACAAGAGUAUGUAUGUAAUCCAGAUACCUGAAUUGGUUGGUAUGCUCA